UUUAGUCUAGGGUAAAAAACGUUUUCAGUUCCUAUCAAUACUGCAAUGCUGUUUUGAUUAGCUACGUUUGCACAACAAUUUUAUUCAAGAGUAAAUUGUCAAAAUCGAGCAUGUGUUGGCCGCGACCGAAUCGUUUGGUUUUCGAUUUCAAUAUUUGGCGACAUGAUGGCAACAUAUCAUGGCAAAAAGGAGGACAUUUGCGUUUGUUUGUUCGGGCGCCGCAGUGACAGGCGAUUGCUGCGCUUUUGACAUGGUUUCUGGCCAAAACCAAUACCAGAUCGCACCCGGGCAGGCGACAGGAGUUGGAUGCGUUAAGAGGUCUGACAUGGCCGUCAUGACAGCUGAACUUUGUGGUGAUUUAUGUGUUUGACUGCGAGUGCCAGGUAGAAAACGGGAUUCUGAUGAUGACAGCAAUGCGUUUAUAAAAACUACCAAAUCUUAUUUUGCUCUAAGGUAAAUUGCAGCAAUAAAUUUUGUGUUCAUAUUAAAUAUA